rnacentral:rRNA from 1 species
UACGAAGGGGGCUAGCGUUGCUCGGAAUUACUGGGCGUAAAGCGCACGUAGGCGGCUCUUUAAGUCGGAGGUGAAAUCCUGGAGCUCAACUCCAGAACUGCCUUCGAUACUGAAGAGCUCGAGUCCGGGAGAGGUGAGUGGAACUGCGAGUGUAGAGGUGAAAUUCGUAGAUAUUCGCAAGAACACCAGUGGCGAAGGCGGCUCACUGGCCCGGUACUGACGCUGAGGUGCGAAAGCGUGGGGAGCAAACA